GGGAGAAAACCAAGUUGACUUUCAUGAUUGACCUCUCAGGGACGUCCAAGGAAUCUGUGCAUUUCAAGAAACAAAGUUCAUCAGCUUCUCUCCUAAGAGUCUCGCUCUGUCGCACACUCUGGAGUGCAAUGGCGUGAUCUCGGCCCACUAAAACUUCCACCUCCUGAAUCUCAGCAAUUCUCCUGUCUCAGCCUCCUGAGUAGCUGGGACUACAGGCUCACACCACCAUGCCCGGCUAAUUUUUGUAUUUUUAGUAGGGACGAGGUUUUGCCAUAUUGGUCAGGCUGGUCUCGAAGUCCUGGCCUCUGGUGAUCCACCAGCCUCAGCCUCCUAAAAUGCUGGGAUUACAGGCAUGAGUCACCAUGCCCAGCCUAAACUUGGCAAGAUAAUAAAUAACCUUUUUAAGUGUCGUUGGGCACCUGUCUGGUUGUUUUUCUUUAGGUUACCAUGCCAGCAAUGGUUCCUUUUGAGUUUCUGACAGAAGAUAGUGGUUUUCAUCCAAAUAAGUCAACUACUCUACCCCAUCCCUAAGCCACUUGUAUGGAAAGAAAAAGAGGAAGAAGCCAGUACUGCGACUGCGUAAGCUUCCCCCAGCAUCACCCGCUAUGAGAUGUGUGGCAGCUGAGACCCGGGAACUGCUCAAGGGCACCAGGCCCCAUCUGUCUGCACUCACUCACCUUCCUCAGGUACUCGCAUGGGCAUGUCACUGACUUUACGUGCUGCUGCAGCUCCUUGGUGAGCUGGCCCUGGUCAUGGGACAGGAACU